rnacentral:lncRNA from 1 species
CUCAGUCCAGUAUUCUGGCCUAGAGAAUUCCAUAAGCUGUAUAGUCCAUGGAGUCGCAAAGGGUCGGACACAACUGAGCGACUUGCACUUCAUUUCAUUUCAUAGUUGUCUGGACUGAUGCUGACAGCUUGACAAGAGUGGGCUACUUUUCAGCAGAUCCGAUCUGCAAGCAAGGGAGACCCAUAAGAGGGACCAGGAACUGAGUCAGUUUGGGAGUAUCAGGAAGAGCUCUGUAGGACUUGCCUUCUGGGUGGCCCUGCCAUCUUGGUUCCUGCUCACUCUUCUUAUUAUUGUUUAGUCACUCAGUCAUGUUCAACUCUUUUUGCAACCCCACCUACUAUAGUCCACCAGGCUCCUCUGUCCAUGGGGAUUUCCCAAGCAAGAACACUAGAGUGAAUUGCCGUUACCCUCUCCAGGGGAUCUUCCCAACCCAGGGAUCAAACCAGCAUCUCUUGUAUUGCCAGGUGGAUUCUUUACCACUGAGCCACGUGAAAAGCCGACUCACUCUUCUGCUGCUGCUGCUGCUGCGUCACUUCAAUUCAGGAGAGCGACCAUCAGCCAAGUGCUGCAUUAGUCCUCACAUUGCCUUGUGAGCCCUGGUGUAUCAUCUUCAUCUCAAAGCUGUGAAAACCAAGACCCAGAGUUAAUUAGAGCUCACCCAAAGGCCUCCAGCUACAAAGCCAAGCUGCCAAUCUGAGUCCAGCUGAGCCCUCUCCACUACACUGCCCGCCUGCACCUCUGCUCUAGAACCAGCUAUUGGACAUGGUCGGGCUCAUGCAGAAUGGAAAGGACAGAAAGGAGUGGCCUUCAUUGGAUGGUCAGCAGCCUCUGUUGUCCCAGGAGAAGCAGCACAGCAUUGAGGUUAUGUGUAAAUCCUAUAAGGAACACAGAAAGGGAGAGAAAGAAGAAGAAAGAAGAGAAAAAGUGAGUAGAGAACAGGGAGUGAAAGAUACUUCCAGAGUCACCCUUACUAUCCCUACUCUGACAGAUGGGGAAACUGAGGCUCAGGAUGGUGAGAGAUCAAGCAUUCCUGUGGAGGUGCUGCACCUGCCCAGAGUGACCAGCCCUUCAGCAAAGAGCAAAGUGUUCUCUUGGCCAAAAGCCAGAGGGAGGCAGGCCCAUAAGCCAACCCGGUGCCAAAGGUGUGGCUAAGAAUUCUUGAUCGGUGUUUUUAGAUAAUUUUAUAAAACAUAUCAGUAAUAUUUGUGUAAGGAAAAGUGUUUUUACACUGUUCACCCAGCAACCCCUUCUCUUCCAUCUUGUUAUGUGAUGCCUUGGGCUG